rnacentral:tRNA from 1 species
UCAAAUAGCUCAGUUGGUAGAGCGUGAAACUCUUAAUCUCAGGUUUGUGAGUUCAAGCCCCACAUUGGGUGAA